ACCCUGAAUAUCGAGACUACCGUCCAUUUUGUAACUCGCUUAUCUAGUUCAGGGUCUCAGGGGUCUGAGCAAAUGUAGAGGGGGCAACACGGAUAAGAACCAACCUACGACACCAGAGCUGAAGGCCGGACCACCAGUCAGUGUGCUACUACGAGACCACCAGUCAGACAAACAUGAAUUCCUAUCUAGCGUUAUAUACUUCUAUUGUUAAACGUGGAGUGAAAUACACAACACUGUAAGUCUGUGAGAAGUUCAUCAACACUGAGAUGAGUUUGUGAUGAAAUGAAAUAAAACAGAAAUGAAAAUAAAGAAAGGCAGGAAUUACAAAAAGAAAUCAUCAAAAUCAGUGAGGUGUCCUCUGUGAUAAAAUGGCUUCUCGUGAACUUCUCUGAGGGUCCACCUCACAGUCCUGAAACUCCGGCAGACUCGGUGGUCAGAGAUUGACACACACAGGUGGUCUGCUGCAGUGCUGGAGUCGGAGUGUGUUACAGAAAACACAAUAAUAAGUUUAAUACAUGAACAGAGUGCUAGAUGUGACAAAAGAACUGAAGAAACAGAAUUAAAAAAUGGACGACUUCACAGAAAUCAGUGCAAUUAAAAAUGACAACAGAAUACAGAAUUGAGUGUGAAUGGCACCCUCUUGUGGUCACGAAGUGUAAUUAAAAUAAUUAAAAAUGGACCCAAAUUCAUUAAUCC